rnacentral:tRNA from 1 species
UCCCUGGUGAUUCAGUGGUUAAGAUUCCAUACUCCCACUGCUGGGGGCCCAGGUUCAAUCCCUGGUUGGGGAA